CCCUUAGAUGUUCGGGGCCGCACGCGCGCUACACUGAAGGAAUCAGCACGUCUUUCUCCUUGUCCGAAAGGACUGGGUAACCCGCUGAACCUCCUUCGUGCUAGGGAUUGGGGCUUGUAAUUCUUCCCCAUGAACGAGGAAUUCCCAGUAAGCGCGAGUCAUAAGCUCGCGUUGAUUACGUCCCUGCCCUUUGUACACACCGCCCGUCGCUACUACCGAUUGGAUGGUUUAGUGAGAUCCUCGGAUUGGUCCCUGCGCGGCCUCUGGUCGUGCCGGAGUGCCGAAAAGAAUGUCGAACUUGAUCAUCUAGAGGAAGUAAAAGUCGUAACA
rnacentral:rRNA from 1 species